UUGAUAAUGAUUCAAUUUAUGAAACAUUAGAAAUCAUUUCUAAUUUUUUCAUAAUGCUUUGAUCAAAGUCUUCCUGAAUCAUUAUUUGAUUGAAGCAAAUAGGAUGCGAUCUCCUCUUACUAGGAGCGAUCGUUUCCAUAUUGACCUACUCACAACCUUCAUAAGCAAUCCAUCAUAUCCGGAACAUCCCGUACAUGAUUAAAUCAUGAAUGAGUAUGAUCCAAAAUAUGGAUUCAUGCUUAUAAGGUUCUACGGCAGUCUCGGGUCAAAAGAUUUACAUGCACAAUUCCCACUAUAAGAAAAAAUCUAUUGACAUGUAGAUAAGACUCCAUCAGAUAUUCUUUAAUUGGAUCAAUUCAGUGAAUUCAUUCUCUAAUGAACACUUACAUCCUUAUAUUAGUGUCAUACACAAGUAACUGUGAGAUCAAUUACCCUCU
rnacentral:lncRNA from 1 species